rnacentral:lncRNA from 1 species
AGCAUUGCCAGAUCGAGCGCAGCCGCUGAUAUCUGCGGCCAUCUCAGAGGAGAAAAGGGUUAAGGAGCUACUGAAGAAGGGCAGGCACACCAGCACACUCUCCAUAAUACAGAGAAGUGGUGAUGUUUACUCAGUGAUUUGCCUCUAGUCAGAUAAACACAGCUGGUGGUAAGAUAUUCAUCAGGCUGGACAGAGCUACACAUCUGCCAGAAAGAGGUUCUUACUGUCACCUGCAGAAGAAAAGGAGAAAGGUACAGCACAGGCAAAGCAGAAGAAAUAACAAAUGGAACAAAGCUCAAAUGUACAGGAAAGAACAGUAAUAGUGAGAUUUUCUAUGAUGUUUUCUAUCUCGAGUAUGCAAUAAACUGCAAUUAGUAGUAACUGUAAACUCACUGUUAUUUCCUUCACUAGACUGGAAAUCAAUGAAUGGUGGUGCUAUAAAAUCAUUAUAGAUAAGUUGUGAUCUGGAGUAGGGCAUAAAAAAAAGUAAUCUGUCACUAAGGUCCUAUGCAUGUAUUAUGUAAAACAGGUAAUGUUAGUAAGAGGCUAGUCAUGCCUUACUCUCACAUGAUGUAAUUAAUACACAGUAAAUGACUCCGAAAUUUAACACCAGUCUGAGUAUAGUAAUUGUGGAAUUGUCCCAAAUCUCUAAGAAUGUGCGAGUGUAUGGUGUUAAUAGCCUGAUUAUGUAGCAGCAAGUGUUUAAAUAUAGAAUUUGAGGCAUCUAAUUUGAUUCCUCAAGAGGCAACUAAUUUGACAGCAAGCACCUUGUAGUGGAAGCUGAGUUUGUGGAAGAGCUGUAGAACCAGCCAGGUUUUAUUUUGGGGAGCAUUUGAGACCUGUUGGAUGCCUUAAGUGUUUACGUCUCAUCUGCAGUACUUAAAGAGCAUUUCCAGACAUUCUGAUUCACCAGAAUCUGAACUGUGUACAGUUCUGGGUGCCACAAUGUAAGAAAGAUUUGAAACUACUAGAGAGCAUCCCAAUAAGGGCAACAAAGGUGGUGAAGGAUCUAGAGGGCAAGACAUUUGAGGAGCAUCUGAUGCCUCUGGUUUGUUCAGCCCAGAGGAGAGGAGGCUGAUCUCAAAUAUUGUCCUGUGAUAGCAUAGCAUCAUCACCAGCUUCAGAGCACAAUGUGUGAUGCUACUGAGUGCCACUGGCUGACUUUGUCCAUGAGAAAGCUGAAGAAAUAAUUUGCCUGUCCAGUCCCAUUCUUCCCUGUUUUAUUUAUAUACGUUCUCUCUGCAGUAUUCUUUUGUAACCUUGAAAUUUGCAGUAAUCUUUCAGAAAGCCCUAACAUUAUCUGCAUGUUUCGUAUGAAAUUUGUCUAGCUUCUUCUAGUUACAAUAGUUGUUUGUUCUGUUGCCAAGAAAAUAGCAUCAUCAGCUACAUGGACUAUACAAAAUAUUACAGAAUAAAAUCAGC